UACGAAGGGGGCUAGCGUUGCUCGGAAUCACUGGGCGUAAAGGGUGCGUAGGUGGUUGUUUAAGUCUGCUGUGAAAGCCCCGGGCUCAACCUGGGAAUGGCAGUGGAUACUGGACAGCUAGAGUGCGGUAGAGGGUAGUGGAAUUCCCGGUGUAGCAGUGAAAUGCGUAGAGAUCGGGAGGAACACCAGUGGCGAAGGCGGCUACCUGGACCAGCACUGACACUGAAGCACGAAAGCGUGGGGAGCAAACAGG
rnacentral:rRNA from 1 species